UGUCCUUCCAGCUGCCACCAGUUUCUGGGUUGUCGAGUGAUACCCUGAAAGUUUACAGUCAACACUCCUUGUGUGGGGUCAGUCCUAGAAAUGGCGACGCUGCUCUCCGAAGAUAGGAAAGAAAAGGACCUCAUUCCAUUGAGCCAUUGACCGAAAUAUUUUCUCAACAAAGUUGAACUGAGCUGAAACUGUGUGAAUCAUGGCAAUACAGUGAAAGACAGUGAUUUACUGCUUUUGAGGGCGUGCAUGUAUAUGAUUAACGGAUGGAAGUGCAGGACUCCAAGAUUUACUUCCUUCCCUUUCCAGCAGAAUUACCUGAGACGAGUAAAAUCUACUGGUGGAGUCACUCCAUUAUUCUUAUCUGUGGAGAUCUAGAUCUUGAUUUGAAAGUUUCUGAGAAAAUCUUCAGCUCAGACUUGAGGGUCAACUUUACCAGCUGAAGGAUCUGCAUUUACUGCUCAACCACAUCUAAUUUGAUGUCCUCUGCAGAUUUAAAAUGUGUGCCUUCUUUUCCGUCACCAAGUCAUCCCUGGGUUACUACUGAACAUCCUUCUCAAUUCCCCCCGACCCAUGGAUGGCUGUUCUCCAUUGUCUGUUUCACCAGAUGUCCUCAAAACAAACAGACAGAAG
rnacentral:lncRNA from 1 species